UGCAGUUGGUAACAGUUGUAAUGCAACUGUUACUGGUCGGAAGAUCUUCUUGAUUGCUGAAACCUCUCUUCUACAAUCUAGCCACCCGGGUAAAAUUCUAUGUUUUCAAGAAAGGCAAGUCCAACAUUAUAUCUCCAUCACCUCUACGAUCCCACACAAUGUCUACUCAUUUAUCACAAGUGCUUCGUAUCAUCCUGGAGCAGGGAAUUUAAUGCCUUUUGCAAUCUCUAUUUUUUGAAAGCUGAAGGAUAAUUAAUGGAUUUUGAGAGAGCCUGAGAGGACUAACAAUAGAACAUUUGCAUGGAAUGACAUUUAGCACACUAUAUUUCACAGAACAGGAACCGGCAAACCUGAACAACUGGAAUUGAUCGCAAAUACUUUAGAGCAGGUUAUGAAUAUUUCCCCCAAUAAAAUAUGAUAAAUGUUUAAGGAUACAUCGGCAAAGGCCACAAUUAUUAUGCAACUAAAUUUAAUAGGGCCUCUGUUUGAGUCCUCAAAGCUUUCUAGUAGUUAUAUCCAAAUUACUAGACAGAAGGAGAAGUAAGGAAUCCCUAAUGACAACUGUGUUUUCCGACCUUAAAGUGGAAGUAAGUCUGAAGUCAGGAAAGCAGAGUCGUAUUCAGGGGCGGAGCUAUAAUUGGGUGGACAAGUUCAAAAAACACUAGCCGACCAACCUUGGGAAGCUGCCUCUCACCUCCCCCACUGGCUAGCUCCUGCUGUCAUUUUUCAUAGCACAGUACAGCUGUGAUGAACGCUGAAAAAGUGACUAUCUUCUCAGCUAUUUUGUUUUUUGCCACAUGAAGCAGCAGUUCAGAGGAAACCAGUAAUGAAAAGAGAUGCCAGUGAGUCAAGCUGUGGGAACCUUAUGCUGCAUAUCGUACACAAAUUCAAGCAGCUUACUACUAUGACUCUAGGGGAAAAAAUGUUUCAAAUGCGGACAAGGAACACAUGUCACUUACCCAGAGUUGCAGUUGAGGAAUAAAUUUGUCCUUCCAGUGCUGUAUUGUAAUCCUUUUGACAACCCUCCAAAGACAAAGAAUCCACAGUUCUUAAUGUAAUGCUAGAUUGCAUAUGCUGGGGAUGUACCCCAACAAAGCAUUAACGUCCUCGGCAGGCAAUGAUUGCUGCUAGGUCACGUUAACAACCUUAUGAAUUUCAAGUCAAAAUGGCACAAUAACUGGACAAGGCCAAACCAUAUGCGUAAGUGUACCCACAUAGAGAUUACACCUUCAACAUCUAGAAGUCUGCAACCAUCCCUUGUUAAACAUUAUCUGAGGUGUACAAUAAAUACGGGGUAAAGGUUUUUGCUGUAUUAGGCUCAUUUUGAGAUCCAAAGAAGCAUGUUUCACUGUCUUCAAAGCAACCUGCCAUUGAUUUAAUCAGGUAGGGUUUUCAAGAUUAUUGUUCCAAAGAUCUUGGAUAUAAUCAAUAUCAAUCUUAUCAAUGUCUUUAAGAUUCUGUUAGAGCAAGGUUACAGGCUUAAGUGCAUCCAAUAGUUCCAAGUCUAAUCCAGUGUUCCAGGUCCAAUAAUAGAAAUGGACUUUCAGAAGCUGCAAUCGCACCAGGACCAAAAAGCUGUGAUUAAAAAAAUGUUUGAGCUGAAUAAACUGCCAGCUAGCAUUUAAAGAUGAAUCAAACUCUGCUCUCAAAGUUUCAAAAGGUUUAAAUAACAGCUUUACAAGAGAUCAAUUGAUCUGUAGUAUAAUGAUGUUGUGGGAAGCCCAGUUAGCCCAAUAAAAAGAUUUACGAGCAAUCUUCAAACAGGGAUUCUCCCACUAUGGAAGCUUUUCAUUCUGGAAAGGAUUGAAGCCAUGUCUAGAAGCCAGAGUUCUCCAUAUGUGCCUUGCAGCUUUAAACAUCAAUAAUGACCUAGAUCCAUGAACAAACCCAGCACCUUCCAAGAUAUCAGAGGGGUCAAAUAAUAACUUUCAAGCUGUGCCCAAGGCAUGAUCGAAACCUGGGAUUCAUUGUUCCACCCUAAGACUUAAGACAGAAUAAAUGCCCAAUGAGAAGAUUGAAAAUAUGGAAAGUUAAACCUGCCUUCUUCAAUAGGUGAAGUUUACGAAGUGAAAAUCUAGGUAGGUGAUGAGAACUGUGUAUUUUGC